ensembl:lncRNA
ACUCUCUAUUGUCUGCAAAUACCUUUGGAAAAGUUCUUACAUUGUUGGAGUUGGCUUUUGUGUAACACGUUGGAAGAUAAGCUAAUGCAGAAGGCACUGGAUUUUUUCCUCUUAGAAGUAGGCAUGACAGCAGCUACAUUCAGAAGGUUGCCAUUCAAUUAAUCCUGAAACACGUUGGACUCCACUGCUUUGAAUCACAAAGGAUUAAGAGCACUGCUUCACGGUCCAGAGGUGAGGUCACAACCACUACACCACAAACUAACCUGGGACUGUAGCAUAUCGCCUCAAAGGGCAAUAACCAGACAACAAUCGAGAUGGAAACUGGAAGAUUGAGAGAUUCUCUUCUAACGAGGAAAGAGUAAAAUAAAUAUUCAGAAAGAUUUGGGGACUUUAAACAAUGAAAAAUUGCCUGGUGUACUCCAAAGAGGGAUUAUCAGGAAUGAUUGCAGGUUAGCAAAGUAAUACCCACUGAAAAGCGUUUUCUUGUGUUGAACUCUAUUAAGCUUAAUAGUGCAACCGUUUACUCAAGUGAGCUAUACCACUGCCAGCAUAAGGACUAGUUCUUUAUAUGAGUUUUCAGGCCUCUUUUUACAGCUUGUAAUACUACUGAAAAUGAAUGGAAGAGCAGACAUACCUAGUUUUCCUAAUUAAAGUAUUUGUAUUGAUAUUACAUAUUUGAAGGAGUAGUUUAAUAGCAUUGUGGUAUUCUAAACUUGUGAAAUACUCAGUGAUAGUUCUCAACAAUAAAAGUCAGAUUUAAUGGAACUGAAACUUUUAUCUUUUCCCAAUUUUGUCUAGAACAGUUGAGUUGUGUGAAAAGUAGAGCACAAAGAAAAGACAGUACUGAGAUUUCAUUUUUGUGUUUAUGGGCCAAACACACAUGGUAUGUCUCAUUCUGAUUCUUUGGGUCAUUUUGUCCGCAUCUUUUGUCCAAUAUUUGUGCCACUGGAAAGCCCGGGGCUUGAAUAUAGUUGCGGUUUUGCUUUGGGAUGGCAAAGCAUUAUUGGAGCUAUAUCCAGAAACCUCUGUCUUUUUCCUUUAGCCAGUACAAUUAUUCUCUCAAAGACCUGUGUCUGGGAUUAAUAUUUUAUGCAUGAAAUGUUUCAUGUACAGUAGUGACAUAAUAAGAAGAGGCAUUUUAUUAGUUUGUGCAUGAAAGAAGAAUGGAUUACAGAAACAGGAAGUGUGUAAAAACUUGCCUUAAGAUGCCAUCAUUUUUAUUAACACCUAAGUUCAUCAUUUUAAGACAAAAAUGGCUCAUGCUUUUUAGUUUUUAUUUUAUUUUGCCAAGCCCUGUCUGAAGAGGUAGCACCCCAUUUAUUUAUGUUCUUCAUGCAUAUCUUGCACAGGAAAUAGCCCAUGUGGAAAGACAGCAAACAGAUAGCUGCAGCUGUUGCCACUUAUGCUCCACAGCACAAUUUUAGGAAUUAAUGGUUUCUAAUCCUGAAAAUAAUAUAGAUACAGAAUGGUGUUACAUUCCAAACUGUCAGGCUGAAGUCCCUUGCUCUUAUUUCAUAAAUAUGUUUAUAAGAAUCUGCCUUAAUCUCUCAACUGCAAGAAAAGCUUUAGAGAUCGCUCUGUGUUUGAAGCUGAAGUUAUUGACCUUUGGAAACUCAUUGGUAGCCGGGGAAAUACACUGAGGUAUCUCUUUGUUGAAAUAUUUAAGACAAUUGUAAGGCAUUAGAGCUAUACUGUUAGAUAAAGCUCCUUCUGGUCUUGCUAUCUACUUGACUGACUGAAGAUAAAUGCAAAUGGUUUUGGCACUUUUGGGCUAUUGUUGAAGUGAAGGAAUACAAUGUGCUUGUCUGACGAUUGCAUGUUAUUAAAGACUAUUAAAUUGGUAAUCCCUAGGUAAUAGAGGUAAAUCUCUCUUCAGAAGCAGCAACAGGAUAACUUUAGUCUAAGAUCAUUAUUAUUAUGAUUACUUUAUGGUUUAGUAAAACAAUCUGUAAAUUGUUCCUGACCUCAGAUUUUCAGAAAUGAUGAAUCAAAUCCCUUUUUUUCUCAUGAUAUGAAGCAAAAUACAGUACUGUUGUCUUU